ACGAACGCUGGCGGCAUGCCUAACACAUGCAAGUCGAACGAGACCUUCGGGUCUAGUGGCGCACGGGUGCGUAACGCGUGGGAACCUGCCCUUAGGUUCGGAAUAACUCCCCGAAAGGGGUGCUAAUACCGGAUAAUGUCUUCGGACCAAAGAUUUAUCGCCUUUGGAUUGGGCCGCGUUGGAUUAGCUAGUUGGUAGGGUAAAAGCCUACCAAGGCGACGAUCCAUAGCUGGUCUGAGAGGAUGAUCAGCCACACUGGGACUGAGACACGGCCCAGACUCGUACGGGAGGCAGCAGUGGGGAAUAUUAGACAAUGGGCGAAAGCCUGAUCCAGCCAUGCCGCGUGAGUGAUGAAGGCCUUAGGGUUGUAAAGCUCUUUUACCCGGGAUGAUAAUGACAGUACCGGGAGAAUAAGCUCCGGCUAACUCCGUG
rnacentral:rRNA from 1 species